CCGGACUGUAAACCCCGGGAAGAUUCGAGUGCCCGGACCCCCUAAGAAAAGGAAAGUCGAUCUGGUAGUCUGGCCACCUGGUCCCGCGAGCUUCAGGUGCGCGCCCACGACCUGCAAAGGGGGCCCAAGCAGGCCAAGCGAGCGAAGAACCUCCCCGAGCGCCUCUCUUACCUUCGUUGUCACAGCCGCGUCCUCUCGGCUGGGGAAAGAAAAACAAAAUCCAAAUACAAAAAGCCAGGAGGCCCCGGGCUCGUGGCCGGGGGAAAGGGGCGCGUGGUCCGCGUCCGGGUGCUCGCCCUCAGCGCCCCGCGAACAGCCGCCGCCACAGCGGCCG
rnacentral:lncRNA from 1 species